rnacentral:rRNA from 1 species
CGUACCGGAAACGGACGCUAAUACCGCAUAAUGCAGCGGCAUCGUAAGAUGACAGUUGUUAAAGAUUUAUCGCUUGAAGAGGAGCUUGCGGCAGAUUAGCUAGUUGGUAAGGUAAUGGCUUACCAAGGCUACGAUCUGUAACCGGUCUUAGAGGACGGUCGGUCACACUGACACUGAAUAACGGGUCAGACUCCUACGGGAGGCAGCAGUCGGGAAUUUUGGGCAAUGGGCGAAAGCCUGACCCAGCAACGCCGCGUGAAGGAUGAAGUAUUUCGGUAUGUAAACUUCGAAAGAAUAGGAAGAAUAAAUGACGGUACUAUUUAUAAGGUCCGGCUAACUACGUG